UCUUAACGACUCUCGGCAACGGAUAUCUCGGCUCUCGCAUCGAUGAAGAACGCAGCGAAAUGCGAUACUUGGUGUGAAUUGCAGGAUCCCGCGAACCAUCGAGUUUUUGAACGCAAGUUGCGCCCGAAGCCUUUUGGCCGAGGGCACGUCUGCCUGGGUGUCACUC
rnacentral:rRNA from 1 species